GAGCCACCCCAGCCCCGUCUGUGACUCUCAGCUCCUGAGGCUGGGCUCUUCCCCAGGGAAGCUGCAUGACUGUGGCCACGUACAGGAGCCAGUGCCUGAACCUGCUGCAGCCCCGACCCCGCAGAGCAAGCGGCUCUGCUACCUCAGCCACGUAGCUGAUGGCAUCCUUCAGGUUCAGCUCGUGGAAGACAUUCAGGAUCCGGUCUCGAGACUUCUGGGCCGACCGUCUCAUGAGGACCCUGCUGAGGAACUUCGUGUCGAAGUGGGACCACCUGUAGGGACAGACCUCGGGUGUGAGCCUCAGGUGACAGGUGCCCUACAGCCCGCCGGACGCGUGGCCUGGCCCCUUCUCUCCUGAAUUUUAUUUGCUAUAGUGACCCUGUAGGCGCAUUUAAAAUGAGGGAAGCAGCCCCGCCACACGCCCAGGCCGGCCGCCGUUCUCCUGCCUGUCCUGUUGGAUGGAGGCCGCCUCCUCCAGAGGGUGGCUCAGGACAGGGUGGGCGUCAGGCCUGGUCGGGCAAGGGGGCUCCGGCCAUGUGGGGGUGACUUUCAGCUGCACAGGAGGAAAGGCAGGGGCGGACAGAUGCCCUGAGCCCUUAAGACCUGUGAGAGCCAAGCUGACCAGAAUGAGGUUUUUUUAGCCUAAUAGAAUUAGAGUAUUCACCGGUUAUCCGGAUCAGAAGGGACGGUGGCCUGGCCGGAUUUAGAGGAAACUCUGGGGCACAAGGAGGUGAUGCCUGUCACUCUUGGACAUGGGUGCAGCCGCCAGAGCCGCCGCCCGGGGCAUAGGGUAGGCCCGGGUGAGCUUGUGUGCUCACACCUGGGCAGGCCCCGUGGCAGCAAUGGCGGCUCUCCUGUACAGGCUGAGUUUCAGCCACACCAGGAAGUCAAAGCUAACUGAGGCCGUGGUUUCAGAGACCCCCGGGAUGGCCCCUGGGAGGCCAAGGAGUCGGGGACUGGGUACCUGGAGCAGAGUCACUGUGGCCACGGAGAACCGCAGCUGAGCUUCAUGAAGCCACGUGGCCACACCUCCCGGUGCCUUCACCCCCACCGAACACAGAUCGCUCAGAAAAUGGGAACCAGGGCAAAGUGUAUGUGCUACUUACUGGGCUUAUUAUAAGUGUCACAUGUUUUUUAUAAUAAAACAUAGGUGAUUUCACCUUAA